rnacentral:tRNA from 1 species
GGGAGCUUAGCUCAAUCGGUCAGAGCACCGCGACGCGUAAUCACGAAGGUGUGAGUUCGUGUCUCAUAGCUAACC